AAUGACGUUGAAUAGUGACUUACGAACAUUUGAAGGUACGAACGGCCGUUUGGAACGUAACUCAUUCGUAAGUAGAAGGAGCUUCUGCACAAGAAAAUAUAAAUUGCCCAAUAAUUCCCAGAAAUUCUCAUGGAGAGUUUCCUUCUUUAAAAAAUCUUGGAAUUUUCAUCCAUGAAAUUAGCCAGUUCAGCAAGCAGGGAAAAAAACAACAACAUAAACAAAAAUGUGUGUGUUGAGGGAGGCUUAUGAGGAAUAGAGUUAGAAUGGGAAUCAGGACCAGUCACAAAAGAAGAGGAGACAUCAGUCCAUAACUGCAGAUGUGAAGGAAGGUUGGAUUAUUUCACACAAAUUGCCAGGUCACAUGACCCUCCCUUCCCAGAUGGCUUCACCAACCAUUUAUGGAAAACAUUCAUAUUGUGGCACCGGGCAGACCGAGGCAUCACCACAGCGGCAAUGAACCAUGGUCCUAAAUAGCAGGGCUGUACUGUGUGAACACUCAUACGGCUGAAGUCACCCAUCUGUCACCGAGGACAGGGAGGCUGAGAGCGACUGUCAGUCAGCAGUGACUGUGGGGCUGUUCAGCAGCGACUCAGAAAGGCCUCCAUAAUUUCCUAGCGGUGUUAAAUGUGCCAGGACGUAGUUCAACGGGACGCCAGGCUUUUAUUUCGACAGACAGUUGGUCAGCCUCAGGCAGGAUAGUAAUUGGUAUCAUAAUACAGCUUUAAUCUAUGGCCCUGUUAUAUGUUUUAUAUUAUACAGUAGUUGUUAUAAUGUCGUCUGAGUUGGUCAUUUUGUUUUUAAGAACUGGGCCUGCAGACUUAGAGACUAGGAGAAGAUUUCAGCAAAUGUUUUCAUUUUCAUGACCUUUAAUAAAAUUAAUAAUCUAGAGAAAUUAUGGAUAGUAUCCACUGAUGCCUCAGCUUUUAUUGCAGGGUAAUGUUUAAAUCCAUUCCAGGCCGUAGCCUCUAUUAUGACUGCUCAGUAUAUAUUUGGUCCAUUUUCAUUAGUGAUAAAUUAUGUAUUGAGUUCAAAUUCUAGGGCAAUUAUUUCAUUGUCUCUGUUAUUCCUGUUGGCAUAUUUAUUGCAUCGUAUGUAAUAAGGUGGUUUUACAAGAGAAAUUUGUUUUCAUUCGCUUAUCUUAGUCAGUUGUUUCAUCAUUUUUCCGAUAAUGAUCAGUUUGAAUAUUUUCACUGCGGAGAUUGCAGGCUAAUGCGAGAUCCACUUGUAACUAGUUUUGCCGAUACUUUUCCGUACUAAUUUGAAACGGAAGAAUGGAAAAGUAGUUCCCACUGAGGCAGGAGCGGCGACUACAAAUGUGAUGGGAAUGCUGGAGAGAGCCCAGGCUCUUAAUUGCAUUUUAAAAGUCAUGCAUAUGUUUCUUGGUUCUUGUGAGCGGCGGAGCUUCCAUGACUUUGCGCGGCGAGACCGCCGCCGAAUCUCCCAGCAGGACAGAUCAAAUUCACCGCCAGCGUAAAAGGAAGUGAGAGUGGAGGAAGGUAAUUACCGUCCUCAUUAGCCAGAGGAAACUCAUUACGGCAGCUCCUGUCAGCUACUCUCUCCGUCCCGAGACCUUCCCAAAAUAUGGGUGCCGGCUCCCCAGGCUCGUGCGUCGUAGGCUGUCGUACCGGAAGCGGAGUGCUGGCUCGCGUCACGCGCCGCGGCGGGAAGGGCGCCGGCGCGAGCUCCGUGCCAAUCUGGCCGGCUCGCGCCGUCGUGGGCGGACAGCGAACAUGGCUCGCGCCGAAAACACAGCUGGCCCCUGUCAAAACCCGAGGCUUGCAUCCAUUUCACUUUUCUGCUGCCCGCCAAUGGAAAUCGUCACAUUUACCUUGCGGAAGAUCAAACUUGCUUUAACUUGCUAUAGUUUUGCUGAAUAAACUUUGGGGAUGUUUAACUGGAACAUCCUUUGGGAUGCGCGUGCGGGCUAUCAGCUGUUGUGAAUCUGUCUGUGCAUGCAGUUAUAAAGACGUGAUAUUACUGAAUAAGGCUCCAAGAGGUCAUAAUUAAUCAUUCGGCUCACAGGAAUCCAUUUGCACAUUUUAUUAAAUUCUGUAAUCGCAUUCUUUGAAGUGCUUGGUAUUUCAAAGUAGGUGCUGCAGUUACAUAAAUGCGAUGUAAUUCAGCCGGGCAUUUUAAUAUUGCUUUAAUAUUGGGUGUUAGUAAGGAUUUUCUAAUGGCUGGCUGGGACAUGUAUGUCUGUAGCAUAUUUAUACUGGUAUAUAAGCUGGUGUUUGCGUAAUACAUGUGGACCAUAUUUAAACGUGCUUAUUUUACUUGUUUCAUGGAGAAGGUUAUUAUUGACCUGUCUGUAUUUAGCAGAGGGUGAUACACCUGGAAAUUACAGAAUAAAAGAAUCACGCAAAGAAUCUACAGUACACACAGGGUUUGGUGGGAUGCCAGCAGUGAUUUCUUCUGGUUUCUGCUCUUUCCGCCGGCCUGUCUGCUGCAUAGGGCUUGUGACACAGAUACUUCACAUCAGCUGUAAACAGAGCGUGCCAAGUGACUCUAAGCGCCGAGCAGCAAUCGGCAGGUCAGUGCUAACCAGUGCCACAUGGGCAUCAUGCCAGUUCUGCUGUUAAUACCAAGUUGGUGGCUAAUAAGAACAUGAAAUGCCUUAAGAAAUGAAAGCCAGUGUGGUUGGGUGUGGAAAACUGGAGUUAAUCAUGGGGUAAAAUAGGCAUACAUGAAAAUUGAUUUAAUUUAAAUUGCUGACAGGCCUGCAAAAUACUGAAAACAAAAGUAUCUCUAUUUUACAGUAAGGCAGAUAUGUUGAAUAGGAUGUGUUUCAAACAUUUUGACAUACUAGCCGUUCAAAAACUCUCAGUGACAAUUUAAAUUUAGCAAGUCUUCGCAAUAUCUUUGACUUGGACAUAACACAGAAAUUUCUACAAUGCUUUGAACAGAGAAACAGUUGUAUUUGUGUUAGCUAUAACGGUACAAUGGAUAAUUUAAGAAUUAAAUGAAUGUUUUAUGUCGGAGAAAAGUUUUGGGUACUUAAAAAUGUAUGUAGCUGUAAUCCAGACACAUCUAUUGUCUUUGUUUACACCUUGGUGCUCAUUGCCGUGUCUUGCUACACCAAGGAAAUUAAAGGAGAAAAAAAGCUCAAGAGCCUUGGCUUGGCAUUUUUCGUGACUCUCUCGACAAACGCUGCCUGACUGUAAUUCAAGGGGACUGCCACGGCUCAUAAAAAAAUCAUUGAUUCUAAUCAAAUUGGAAUAAAACUCCUGCACUGUUGCCUCGCAGGAGUCUCACCGAGUGAUAAAUUUUUCAUGCCGUGGAACUUCUCAACGCUGAGGAAACUCCCAACAGUUUCAGGAUUGCGUGCAAAUAUUUACUUCGACGUCGGGGUGAAGAUCGCCACGGAGCACGGAAGGCCAGCCAGCCCUGAUAAAUGUGAAGGACUGGAAGGGGCAAUAUCUUUUCCUGGCAGAUUCUGUGAAAAGCCACAGGAGUCGUUGCGUUUUAUGAGUGAGUACGAUACCACAUGUAAUUUCAUAAAUUGUCUAUAUUAAGCAAUACGCAGGUUAUGGUGUACUCUGGCCUUUUCUUUGUGCCUCUAAUAUGUUGUUUUCUUUCCCUGAGCAAUUCUUGCACUUUACAUCGCCCCAGCCUCUUGUGGAUACCUCCAUUUCAUCUGUCUGUGUGCAGAUUACAUCACUCAAGUCCAGCUGGUGAAUGGAGGUGGAGUCGGGUAACCGGAGUUCAGAGGGAGCAGGUCGCCGUGUUUGUUUUGGUCUCCAUCUUUAGGUAACUCUGUAUCAGGGACCUCCAGCGGCACGGGAUAGUAGACAAAUCUAGGCAGACCAUAAUCACCCAGAUCUAGACAUUAGUAAAGAGUGUUCCAUAAAGUUUGGUGAUUUUUUUUCAUUGAAGUAUCAUUGUAUACAUCCUGAAUUUCACAGCUUCUGGUAAGACUGGCAGGUAUGGUAUCUGUCCCGGUUUUGACCAUGACAUCCCUCCCAUGAUUUCUGAGAGGUCUGCAAUGUCACAUGUGAAAUGAUUUUGAAUUUCUCAAAGGUUUACUGGGUAUUUGGCACAUUGUAAUUCACCUAAUUGGGGCUCAGUCAUGUUGUGUAAAUGAGAGCGAGAUAAAAAUUUGCUACGCCAACAUAAUGAGUUUAUGCCUGUAAACAAGUGUGCCGACGCAGAUUUGAUUUAUCAGCGGCCUGCUUACUUCACUGCAGUACUGCCAGCACCAUAUAGCAUGGUGGUUAUAUAAGGUGAAGGGAAUUAGGGAUUUGCAUAGUUGAGAAAGAUGGUUUCCGAAAGCAAGGAUGUUGACAUCAGAAGAUAUAUUUGCUGUAGGAAUAUACUGUUAUCAUCCAUGUAAUUUCAGUAAUACAUGUAUUCUUCUCUUUUAGGCUGAAUUAUGGUUCUGUUCUACUAAUUCACACAUUUUUUAAAGAUACAUUUUCCUGCUAUUGCCGCUCCUCUGUGUAGCACGCAGUGCGUAGCUAAGAACAUGUUUAUGGAGUAUGGUUCGCACUUGUCAAAUCAAAACCUCACAGAUGUAAAUUCGAGCUCGAAGUUAUUUUCAAGGAUAACAAAAAUGUGUUUGGCAAUUUAUAAACAAAGCCAAUGGAUCUCAGAAACUAAAUAAUGCCAGGCUCCUGGAGUGUGAUUUUAUUUCUGUAUUUAUGCUGCCUGAGGGGUGUGUGUGUGUUUGUGUGUGUGUGUGUGUGUGUGUACUGU